rnacentral:rRNA from 1 species
GACGAGCGCUGGCGGCGUGCCUAACACAUGCAAGUCGAACGGAGAUAUGAUUUCGGUUAUAUCUUAGUGGCGAACGGGUGAGUAACGCGUGAGCAACCUGACUCUUAGAGGGGGAUAACACCCGGAAACGAGUGCUAAUACCGCAUAAGACCACGACAUGGCAUCAUGACGAGGUCAAAGGAGCAAUCCGCUGAGAGAGGGGCUCGCGUCCCAUUAGAUAGAUGGCGGGGUAACGGCCCACCAUGUCAACGAUGGGUAGCCGAGCUGAGAGGCUGAUCGGCCACACUGGAACUGAGACACGGUCCAGACUCCUACGGGAGGCAGCAGUGGGGAAUAUUGGGCAAUGGGCGCAAGCCUGACCCAGCAACGCCGCGUGAGGGAAGAAGGCUUUCGGGUUGUAAACCUCUGUCCUUGGUGACGAAACAAAUGACGGUAGCCAAGGAGGAAGCCCCGGCUAACUUCGUGCCAGCCGCCGCGGUAAUAC